ACCCUCCUCCUCCUCCUCCUCCUCCUCGUCCUCCUCCUCCUCCUCCCUGUGCUUGUCUGGACUGGAGCCCGUGGGGAGCUGUCCUCCCCCCACGCGCACAGAGGCUUUAUCCUUCUGGCUUAUAAUUGUGCAAAUGAGCUUCUUCCCACAGCACCUCUUCCUCGCCCUCCCCCAGGACUGAUCCCCAGCGUCCCUCUCCUCCCCAGGGACCCAUCCCACCGCACCCCUGGCACCCCACCGGUCCCAUUGCCCCCUCUGGCCUUCCCCACACACCCACCCAGUGCCCCGAGACCCUCAACCCCUCUGCACCCCCAGACACCCAACCCUGGCCUCACCGUGCUCCCCUUCAAACCCCCACCAGCCCUCUGCGCACCCCACAGGACUCACCCACCCCCCAAACCCCAAACCCAUCCCCACCUCCCAUCCCUCUGCACCGUGCUCGCACUGAGGACAUCGCCAGGUGCUCCAGGAGACAGCACAGCAAUUCCAGCCACAGGAAUUCCAGCCUCGGGAUCCCUCUGGAGACCCCAGCACAAGGUAGGGAGCCCAAAUUCCAGCCUCGGGUUCCCUCUGGAGACCCCAGCACAAGGUAGGGAGCCCACCCGCCGGGAUAAGGUGGUCUGGGACAAGCCCCCCCUCGGAUGUGGCUCGCCCCGGGGGUCCCCAGGAGGGGCACUGGACACUGCCACUGCCUGAGCCCAGGGGAGGCGUGAGCAGCCGAGUUGGCAGUGGAGUCAAAGAUCGUGGCCAGCGCGGCCAAAUUGCACAUUCUGCCCAGCUUGGCCCUGAAACUACAGAGCUACAAUAAAAACAAGUUUCGGGAGCGGCAGCUGCUCAGGCAGCCAGACCGGGGGAACGCGGCCCCGCUCGGGGCAGAGCGGGGAUCCCGGCCGGACGUGCCCCGGAGCAUCCUGCCCGCCUGCAGGGACACCCGGCCGGGCAGGGGCGCAGCGGGAGCCGGGAGGAGGGUCCUGCCUCCUCCGGGUGGCACCGCCAGGCGCCGGGGCCGCGGAGCGGCAGCGCUGCCGCUCGGGGAAGGCAGGGCUGGGCAGGACCCCCCCCCCCCCCCCCCCCCCCCCCCCCCCCCCCCCCCCCCCCCCCCCCCCCCCCCCCCCCCCCC
rnacentral:lncRNA from 12 species